ensembl:ncRNA K10D6.9 ncRNA
GAGGAUAACUACGCGCGACCGAGCCUUAUGGAAUGCAUGACCUGUUCUGUCAAUGCGCUCAGAUGAAUCCAAAAGUGUCUCACCGAGCAGAAGAAGAAUUAUGGAUUCUUUGUGGCCAACUUAACAAGCAAUUUUAUUUAAGAAUCG